rnacentral:ncRNA from 1 species
CCCGUCACAACGGCUUCCUGGCGUGGCGGGCAGGCAUUCAAUGGAGCG